rnacentral:rRNA from 1 species
AUUGAACGCUGGCGGCAUGCCUUACACAUGCAAGUCGAACGGUAACAGGCCGCAAGGUGCUGACGAGUGGCGAACGGGUGAGUAAUGCAUCGGAACGUGCCCAGUGGUGGGGGAUAACUGCUCGAAAGAGCAGCUAAUACCGCAUACGACCUGAGGGUGAAAGCGGGGGAUCGCAAGACCUCGCGCAAUUGGAGCGGCCGAUGUCAGAUUAGGUAGUUGGUGGGGUAAAGGCCUACCAAGCCGACGAUCUGUAGUUGGUCUGAGAGGACGACCAGCCACACUGGGACUGAGACACGGCCCAGACUCCUACGGGAGGCAGCAGUGGGGAAUUUUGGACAAUGGGCGCAAGCCUGAUCCAGCAAUGCCGCGUGCAGGAAGAAGGCCUUCGGGUUGUAAACUGCUUUUGUCAGGGAAGAAAUCCUCUGGGUUAAUACCCCGGGGGGAUGACGGUACCUGAAGAAUAAGCACCGGCUAACUACGUGCCAGCCGCCGCUGUAAAAC